rnacentral:rRNA from 1 species
AGUGAACGCUGGCGGUAGGCCUAACACAUGCAAGUCGAACGGCAGCACAGUAAGAGCUUGCUCUUACGGGUGGCGAGUGGCGGACGGGUGAGGAAUACAUCGGAAUCUACUUUUUCGUGGGGGAUAACGUAGGGAAACUUACGCUAAUACCGCAUACGACCUACGGGUGAAAGCAGGGGAUCUUCGGACCUUGCGCGAUUGAAUGAGCCGAUGUCGGAUUAGCUAGUUGGCGGGGUAAAGGCCCACCAAGGCGACGAUCCGUAGCUGGUCUGAGAGGAUGAUCAGCCACACUGGAACUGAGACACGGUCCAGACUCCUACGGGAGGCAGCAGUGGGGAAUAUUGGACAAUGGGCGCAAGCCUGAUCCAGCCAUACCGCGUGGGUGAAGAAGGCCUUCGGGUUGUAAAGCCCUUUUGUUUGGAAAGAUAAGCAGCAGGUUAAUACCCCGCUGUUCUGACGGUACCCAAAGAAUAAGCACCGGCUAACUUCGUG